AAUCUGUGCUUGGGACAUUUACAUACAAGCUCCCUAUAUCGCUCACAUGCCUCGUACAUGGAUUCAUCAUCUGCCUGCUGAAAAGAAGUAAUAUCGUUACGUAAUUU